rnacentral:rRNA from 1 species
GGGCGCAAGCGUUAUCCGGAUUUAUUGGGCGUAAAGGGCUCGUAGGCGGCUCGUCGCGUCCGGUGUGAAAGUCCAUCGCUUAACGGUGGAUCUGCGCCGGGUACGGGCGGGCUGGAGUGCGGUAGGGGAGACUGGAAUUCCCGGUGUAACGGUGGAAUGUGUAGAUAUCGGGAAGAACACCGAUGGCGAAGGCAGGUCUCUGGGCCGUCACUGACGCUGAGGAGCGAAAGCGUGGGGAGCGAACAGGAUUAGAUACCCUGGUAGUCAAGGGCG